rnacentral:rRNA from 1 species
UACGGAGGAUGCAAGCGUUAUCCGGAUUUAUUGGGUUUAAAGGGUUCGUAGGCGGGAAAGUAAGUCAGUGGUGAAAGCCUGCAGCUCAACUGUAGAACUGCCAUUGAUACUGCUUUUCUUGAAUAUAUAUGAAGUGGGCGGAAUACGUCAUGUAGCGGUGAAAUGCACAGAUAUGACGUAGAACACCGAUAGCGAAGGCAGCUCACUAAUAUAUUAUUGACGCUCAGGAACGAAAGCAUGGGGAGCGAACAGG